AUUGAACGCUGGCGGCAUGCUUUACACAUGCAAGUCGAACGGCAGCGCGGGCUUCGGCCUGGCGGCGAGUGGCGAACGGGUGAGUAAUACAUCGGAACGUGCCCAGUAGUGGGGGAUAGCUCGGCGAAAGCCGGAUUAAUACCGCAUACGACCUGAGGGUGAAAGCGGGGGAUCUUCGGACCUCGCGCUAUUGGAGCGGCCGAUGGCAGAUUAGCUAGUUGGUGGGGUAAAGGCCUACCAAGGCGACGAUCUGUAGCUGGUCUGAGAGGACGACCAGCCACACUGGGACUGAGACACGGCCCAGACUCCUACGGGAGGCAGCAGUGGGGAAUUUUGGACAAUAGGCGAAAGCCUGAUCCAGCAAUGCCGCGUGUGUGAUGAAGGCCUUCGGGUUGUAAAGCACUUUUGGCGGGAACGAAAAGGACUGUGCCAAUACCACGGUUCGAUGACGGUACCCGCAGAAUAAGCACCGGCUAACUACGUGC
rnacentral:rRNA from 1 species